rnacentral:tRNA from 1 species
CUCAUAGCUCAGUUGGUUAGAGCGCUACGUUGACAUCGUAGAGGUCGUUGGUUCGAAUCCAAUUGAGUCC